UUAUUCGGCUGCUUCAACCGCCAGAGAGCGAGGUGACCUUUGCCCCCAAGUAACAGCCACUCAGCAAAUAGCACCAAAUGAAGACGGAGAAUAACAUAUAGAUUUGCCAUAAGAAAAAAUUGAUCUAAAUCCAUAUAUCAAAUCUGCUGAUCAGAGCUCUAGAGAAAUGCUUCACAAUCCUUAGCAAGCACUUGCAGGAAGUUUGGGCAGAAAGAAGACCUUCCUGAAGCUUAUAUUAACAAAUCAUCUUGUCAACUGUUUCUCAGUGUGGAAUGUGUUCCUCAAAAAUCUGCUGAGAAGUCAGGAUCCCCAGGGAUUUACAUGCACCUUGCGCUGUGAUGACCAGCAAGAGCCCUGCCUGACUUCAAGCCAAGCAAGGUAUCAGUGUCUCUCACCAUCUGAAGAAUGUUACAUGGUGAUUCAGCCCCUGGCAAUCCCUAAGACAUGUUACUUCCAUUGAAUUAAGACACAAAAAGUUGCUUGGUGUCUCUUCUCACCAUGCUAACUGGAACGCCUGAGAAGAAAAUCACUGCAGCCGGCACUCCCUGCUUCCCCAUCCUACUUCCCUGAGAAAACUGAAGCUGUCAAGAGAACUUCCACAAAUUCCCACCACCAUAGAUGCUCUCCAGAUGAUUAAAUCCAGCUGUACUUGGUGUAACUGCAUGGAGCACAAUGGAUCACUGACUCCUCCUUGAUACAAGUGCUUCCCUGCCCUCUCUUGGGUUUCCACCUCCCUGUGGCUCUUUCUCAGUCCACAUGACUUCUUCAUCUCUUUCCCCAGAUAUCUCUGUGUGUGACUUCUCCAGGCACAGUCCUUUCCCUUUUUCUGCUGCUACUCUCACUUCUGGGAUGGCCUGGGCAGCACUUGCCCACCUGCUGUUCUCCCUAUCACAUGUGACAUCAACUCUGUCCUCCCAACUACUCAACACUUAGCUAUCCUUGAUUCUUCCCUUUCUCUCACACCCACAUCCAACCCAACAGGGAUUCUGCCACACUGCCGUUAAAAUAUAUUCAUGACCCAGUUUCUCACAGCUUCCACGUCUGCCUCCACGGCAGAGCUGCCACACGCUUGCCCACGUCACCACAUCGGGCUUCCUGCUAGACAUCAAGUGGUCUGUCCCUGCCACCGCCAUCUAAAAGCCCCUCAAUGGCCGCAGGAAGCCUUUAAAAGCAGAAGUCAAUUAUCUGUUCAAAACCCUUUCCUGGUUCCUGUUUCCUUUCAGAAUAAAAACCAAAGUACUUGCCAUGGCCACCAAACCUUGCUAAUACCUGUCCCAGGCCCCUGCAAGGUUCCCUCUGAUCUUGUCUACUACACUGUCCAUCACUCACCCUGCACUACCCCUCCCGGCUUCCCUGUUCUCCCCCAGCUGCAACCCCUAGUCCGAGGGCUUUUGCUCUGGCAGUAAAAAGAGGCCUUUUUCCCCAGGUAUCCACAUGGUUAAUUUCCGCCCUGGCAAAUCAUUGCGCCUAUGUCACUUUCCCAUUGAGGCCAACUGCAACCACUUAACACCUCAACCAGUCUCCCUUACCCCCACACCCCUGCUUUAUUUGAUUAUUGAUCCUUCUUAUCCUAUUCUUCUUUUUACUAUAACACUCAUCAUCCUAAUAUACUACAUAACUCAGUUAUUUGAUACGAUUACUGUUAAUUUUCUGUCUCCCACUGCUACAAUAUAAGCCCCACAUUGAUGGGGGGUGGGGGGUCUUUAUUUUGUUCAUUGACAAACCCUAAGCACGUGGAACAAUGUCUGAUAUAUAAUGGAAGUGAAUAAAUGUUUGAUAAUAAAUUCUUACACUAA